rnacentral:piRNA from 1 species
UGAUUGGUCCGUUUUGACAGGGUGCUGA